GCAUGAACUAUUAGUUAGUUCACUUCUGGCUUCAAUUGGAACUUUUAGAAUCUAAAAAGAGUUAAUAACACUUCUGCCAUCAUCGAUAUAUAUGCAAAUCAAGUGGAGUGAUUUUUGCGCAGACAUAUCCGCUCCGGUAUCAUAGCAUGAAAUUCUCUCAUCAAAAUGUGUUAACUUGUAAUAUGAUGCUAUUAACCUACCUUUUUAUUAUAUAUAAGUAUAUAUAACAACACUAUUAGAAGGGAGAAAAAGGGAUUCACUUUGAGAAUGGGUUAUGGGAGUGUUUAAGCUGAAUCGGACGGUGACGGAGUGAUAACGAUCAAGAACAUUCCUAUUGGCUUACUUGGCUAAGCAUCCUGAACCUAUCUGCAGCUACUAGAACUACUCACAUAAAAAAAGUUAGAACAACAUAACAAGAAAAAAAUUUCGCAUUGCUUGUGUUGAUUUUAUAACCGCCAUGGAACAGGGGGGUAUGCUGGACACAUUCAAUCGUUACUUUACAACAUGUAGGGCUGGUUACUUAUAAAUUUCCUUAAAAUGAGGGACGCGCCUGCCGGUGCAUAGUUUAAAUAUAAAUAUAUUAAAGCAGUAGUUUAUGUAAUACAUAUUGUAUUUAUCAGAUGAGA